GAUGAAGAACGUAGCGAAAUGCGAUAAGUAAUGCGAAUUGCAGAAUUCCGUGAGUCAUCGAAUCUUUGAACGCACAUUGCGCCCUCUGGUAUUCCGGAGGGCAUGCCUGUCUGAGCGUCAUUGUCAACCCUCAAGCUCAGCUUGCUGUUGGGUCCCCGUCGUUGCUUUAACGGCGGACCCGAAAGGUAAUAGCAGAGUCCGUGAGACCCUAGACGCAGCGAGCUUCUAGCACGCGUCUGGACGUUUUUCGGGCUCGGUCUUAACUAGAUGAUAACUUCCGAUUGACCUCAGAUCAGGUAGGGAUACCCGCUGAACUUAAGCAUAUCAAUAAGCGGAGGA
rnacentral:misc_RNA from 1 species